GCCUGGAGCGGCGAACCACGGCCAGUGGGAGCCACGAUUGGCUGAACCUGCAGACGAGGCAGACAUGCCUGAAAUAUGAGGCACAUUGCUGAAGAGGAAAUGAGAAGUGCUGAUGUGGAACUUUGAGGAUGCACACAGCUAAGAGUCCAGGAACUUCAUGUAUCAUGUGCACACAACUAGGCAUCCAGAUUUUCAUGCACAACAAGCAAUAGAAUUUGCACGUGCAAAAACUUUUUGACAAAUAUCAUUGAAU